GGUCCCGCAGCUUGAUUGGAGGAGCGCCGCGCUACGAACGCGGAGGUUGAGGGUUCGACUCCCUCCGGGGCUACCA
rnacentral:tRNA from 1 species